CAAGUCGAGCGAGAAGACGUAGCAAUACGUUUGUAAAGCGGCGAACGGGUGAGGAAUACAUGGGUAACCUACCCUCGAGUGGGGAAUAACUAGCCGAAAGGUUAGCUAAUACCGCGUACGCUUCUUGGACUUCGGUUCAGGGAGGAAAGCGAUACCAUGGGUAUCGCGCUCUUGGAUGGGCUCAUGUCCUAUCAGCUUGUUGGUGAGGUAACGGCUCACCAAGGCUUCGACGGGUAGCUGGUCUGAGAGGACGAUCAGCCACACUGGCACUGCGACACGGGCCAGACUCCUACGGGAGGCAGCAGUAAGGAAUAUUGCGCAAUGGGCGAAAGCCUGACGCAGCGACGCCGCGUGGGGGAUGAAGGUCUUCGGAUUGUAAACCCCUUUCGGGAGGGAAGAUGGAAUGGGGUAACCCAUUCGGACGGUACCUCCAGAAGCAGCCACGGCUAACUUCGUGCCAGCAGCCGCGGUAAUACGAAGGUGGCAAGCGUUGUUCGGAUUUACUGGGCGUACAGGGAGCGUAGGCGGUUCGGUAAGCCCUCUGUGAAAUCUCCAGGCUUAACCUGGAACAGUCGGAGGGGACUGCCGGGCUAGAGGACGGGAGAGGAGCGCGGAAUUCCCGGUGUAGCGGUGAAAUGCGUAGAGAUCGGGAGGAAGGCCGGUGGCGAAGGCGGCGCUCUGGAACGUUUCUGACGCUGAGGCUCGAAAGCGUGGGGAGCAAACAGGAUUAGAUACCCUGGUAGUCCACGCCUUAAACUAUGAAUACUAAGUGUCGGCGGGUUACCGCCGGUGCCGCAGCUAACGCAUUAAGUAUUCCGCCUGGGAAGUACGGCCGCAAGGUUGAAACUCAAAGGA
rnacentral:rRNA from 1 species